AUUGAACGCUGGCGGCAGGACUAACACAUGCAAGUCGAAAGAGUGGCGGACGGGUGAGUAAUGUCUGGGAAACUGCCCGAUGGCGGGGGAUAACUACUGGAAACGGUAGCUAAUACCGCAUACCAUCGGAUGUGCCCAGAUGGGAUUAGCUAGUGGGUGGGGUAACGGCUCACCUAGGCGACGAUCCCUAGCUGGUCUGAGAGGAUGACCAGCCAAACUGGAACUGAGACACGGUCCAGACUCCUACGGUAGGCAGCAGUGGGGAAUAUUGCACAAUGGGCGCAAUCCUGAUGCAGCCAUGCCGCGUGUAGGAAGAAGGCCUUCGGGUUGUAAAGUACUUUCAGCGAGGAGGCGUUACUCGCAGAAGAAGCACCGGCUAACUCCGUGCCAGCAGCCGCGGUAAUAC
rnacentral:rRNA from 1 species